rnacentral:rRNA from 1 species
GAGCGGCAGACGGGAGAGUAACACGUGGGAACGUGCCCUUCAGUUCGGAACAACCCAGGGAAACUUGGGCUAAUACCGGAUACGUCCGUAAGGAGAAAGAUUUAUCGCUGAAGGAUCGGCCCGCGUCUGAUUAGCUAGUUGGUGAGGUAACGGCUCACCAAGGCUACGAUCAGUAUCCGGUCUGAGAGGACGGUCGGACACACUGGAACUGAGACACGGUCCAGACUCCUACGGGAGGCAGCAGUGGGGAAUUUUUCGCAAUGGGGGCAACCCUGACGAAGCAACGCCGCGUGGAUGAUGAAGUAUCUCGGUACGUAAAAUCCUUUCGACGGGGAAGAAACCGCAAGGUUGACGGUACCCGUAGAAGAAGCCCCGGCUAACUCCGUG